AUUUUUUGCAGUUUGUUUUUGUCGCCUUUUAGGCACUUGGCGUAUUUUAACAAGUAGCUGUAAGGGUGCUCGACUUGUAAAUCAA